rnacentral:rRNA from 1 species
UACGUAGGGCGCAAGCGUUGUCCGGAAUUAUUGGGCGUAAAGAGCUCGUAGGCGGUUUGUCGCGUCUGCUGUGAAAACCUAAGGCUCAACCUUGGGCUUGCAGUGGGUACGGGCAGACUAGAGUGCGGUAGGGGAGACUGGAAUUCCUGGUGUAGCGGUGAAAUGCGCAGAUAUCAGGAGGAACACCGGUGGCGAAGGCGGCGACCUGGGUAGAUACUGACGCUGAGGUGCGAAAGCGUGGGGAUCAAACAGG